UACGGGGGGAGCAAGCGUUGUUCGGAUUUACUGGGCGUAAAGGGCGCGUAGGCGGCCACCGCAAGUCGACUGUGAAAUCUCCGGGCUUAACCCGGAAAGGUCAGCUGAUACUGCGGGGCUAGAGUGCAGAAGGGGCAACUGGAAUUCUCGGUGUAGCGGUGAAAUGCGUAGAUAUCGAGAGGAACACCUGCGGCGAAGGCGGGUUGCUGGGCUGACACUGACGCUGAUGCGCGAAAGCUAGGGGAGCGAACGGG
rnacentral:rRNA from 1 species